AUGCUUACUCAGCAGCAUGUGUACCAGUGGAACAAUACAGAGAAGAUUAGCAUGCCCCCUGUGCAAGGAUGACACACAAAUUUGAGAAACAUUCCAUAUUUUC
ensembl:snRNA U6 U6 spliceosomal RNA